UGAUCCAGAGUACCACGAGACACGUGAAACCUUGUGGGAAGCAGGGAGGACCACCUCCCAAGGCUAAAUACUACCUGAUGACCGAUAGUGAAGCAGUACCGUGAGGGAAAGGUGAAAAGAACCCCGGGAGGGGAGUGAAAUAGAACCUGAAACCGUGUGCCUACAACCGCUCAGAGCCCCUUAUGAGGGUGAUGAGGUGCUUUUUGUAGAACGAGCCAACGAGUUACGGUAUGUAGCAAGGUUAAGUACUUAAGGUACGGAGCCGAAGGGAAACCGAGUCUGAAUAGGGCGACUAGUUGCAUGCCGUAGACCCGAAACCGGGUGACCUAUCCAUGGCCAGGUUGAAGCGAGGGUAAAACCUCGUGGAGGACCGAACCACGUUGCUGUUGAAAAAGCAUGGGAUGAGCUGUGGAUAGCGGAGAAAUUCCAAUCGAACGUAGUGGAGGUAGAGCACUGAAUGGGCUAGGGGGCAUAGCGCUUACCGAACCUUAUCAAACUCCGAAUGCCACAUACUUUGAGCUCGGCAGUCAGACUACGAAUGAUAAGAUCCGUGGUCAAAAGGGAAACAGCCCAGAUCGUCAGCUAAGGUCCCAAAGUGUAAGUUAAGUGGGAAAGGAUGUGAGAUUUCUAAGACAACUAGGAUGUUGGCUUAGAAGCAGCCAUUCAUUAAAAGAGUGCGUAAUAGCUCACUAGUCGAGAGAUCUUGCGCCGAAAAUGUAACGGGGCUAAACUUACCACCGAAGCUACGGGCUUGAACCCACAGGCCGAAAACCUAAGGUUUCCUCAGGAAGGUUCGUCCGCUGAGGGUUAGUCGGGACCUAAGCCGAGGCCGAAAGGCGUAGGUGAUGGACAACUGGUUGAUAUUCCAGUACCACUACCAUCGUUAUUAUCGAUGGCGUGACGCAGGAGGAUAGUGUGUGCUAGCUAUUGGAUGCUAGUCUAAGCGUUUAGGCAGUGAGAGUAGGCAAAUCCGCUCUCAUAAUGCUGAGGCGUGAUGGGGAAGGUUCCACGGAACCGAAGUACAUGAUUCCACGCUGCCAAGAAAAGCGUCUAGAGAGAGAAGUAGUGCCCGUACCGCAAACCGACACAGGUAGGUGAGGAGAGAAUCCUAAGGCCGGCGGAAGAAUUACAGUUAAGGAACUCGGCAAAUUGACCCCGUAAGUUCGCGAGAAGGGGUGCCUACGAGAGUAGGCCGCAGAGAAUAGGCCCAAGCAACUGUUUAGCAAAAACACAGGUCUCUGCUAAAGCGUAAGCUGAUGUAUAGGGGCUGACGCCUGCCCGGUGCUGGAAGGUUAAGGGGAACACUUAGCGCAAGCGAAGGUGUGAACUUAAGCCCCAGUAAACGGCGGCCGUAACUAUAACGGUCCUAAGGUAGCGAAAUUCCUUGUCAGGUAAGUUCUGACCCGCACGAAUGGCGUAAUG
rnacentral:rRNA from 1 species